GACGUAGGGCGCGAGCGUUGUCCGGAUUUAUUGGGCGUAAAGAGCUCGUAGGCGGCUUGUCGCGUCGUCCGUGAAAACCUGCAGCUCAACUGCAGGCUUGCGGUCGAUACGGGCAGGCUGGAGUUCGGUAGGGGGAGACUGGAAAUUCCUGGUGUAGCGGUGAAAUGCGCAGAUAUCAGGAGGAACACCGGUGGCGAAGGCGGGAUCUCUGGGGCCGAUACUGACGCUGAGGAGCGAAAAGCGUGGGGGAGCGAACAGG
rnacentral:rRNA from 1 species